GGGCGUGUGGCUCAGUUGGUAGAGCGUUCGCUUAGCAUACUCGACAUCCUUGUAUCUCACGAUAUCAGGGAUCCCCAUUGUAUGCGAAAGGUCCUGGGUUCGAUUCCCAGCUCGUCCA